rnacentral:rRNA from 1 species
CACAUGCAAGUCGAGGGGAACGAUAUUGGAAGCUUGCUUCCGAUAGGCGUCGACCGGCGCACGGGUGAGUAACGCGUAUCCAACCUGCCCACCACUUGGGAUAACCUUGCGAAAGUAAGACUAAUACCCAAUGACGUCUCUAGAAGACAUCUGAAAGAGAUUAAAGAUUUAUCGGUGAUGGAUGGGGAUGCGUCUGAUUAGCUUGUUGGCGGGGUAACGGCCCACCAAGGCUACGAUCAGUAGGGGUUCUGAGAGGAAGGUCCCCCACAUUGGAACUGAGACACGGUCCAAACUCCUACGGGAGGCAGCAGUGAGGAAUAUUGGUCAAUGGACGAGAGUCUGAACCAGCCAAGUAGCGUGCAGGAUGACGGCCCUAUGGGUUGUAAACUGCUUUUAUAAGGGAAUAAAGUGAGUCUCGUGAGACUUUUUGCAUGUACCUUAUGAAUAAGGACCGGCUAAUUCCGUGCCAGCAGCCGCGGUAAUACGGAAGGUCCGGGCGUUAUCCGGAUUUAUUGGGUUUAAAGGGAGCGUAGGCCGGAGAUUAAGCGUGUUGUGAAAUGUAGACGCUCAACGUCUGCACUGCAGCGCGAACUGGUUUCCUUGAGUACGCACAAAGUGGGCGGAAUUCGUGGUGUAGCGGUGAAAUGCUUAGAUAUCACGAAGAACUCCGAUUGCGAAGGCAGCUCACUGGAGCGCAACUGACGCUGAAGCUCGAAAGUGCGGGUAUCGAACAGGAUUAGAUACCCUGGUAGUCCGCACGGUAAACGAUGGAUGCCCGCUGUUGGUCUGAAUAGGUCAGCGGCCAAGCGAAAGCAUUAAGCAUCCCACCUGGGGAGUACGCCGGCAACGGUGAAACUCAAAGGAAUUGACGGGGGCCCGCACAAGCGGAGGAACAUGUGGUUUAAUUCGAUGAUACGCGAGGAACCUUACCC